CCAGCCAGGGCAAAUGUGUUUUGCUUUAUCACCACAUAGGAUAAUUUUGAGGAAAUAUAACAAUCAAUGAUUCAAGUUAAUCUAUAUUGUAAUAAACAUGCUAUAUAAGGUUAAGAACCAGCUUUUUUCCAGCAUUUAUCCUGUAUGUAAAUAAUGUUAUUUACAAGUAUUAAUAUGCCUUUAAAUUGUACCAACCACCUGGCAAAUACCACAGGUAUAUGUGUUGCUGGCAAGAAUCAUUCAUAGCUACUAAAACUACUGAGUUAAGGUAUAAGAAACAAAGUAUUUGCAAUCUCCCCACCGAAUAAUGAUUAAUUACAAAGGAAAAACUCUGACUUUACAAGGAAGAAACUUGAGACAGAUCACCUUAGUGACUGAAGUUAACAUUACCAAUGAGACAUCAGUAUCAUAGGCCUCCUGAUUGUGAUAGACUGAGAAGGGCAUGAUGGUAUGAUGUUACUUCAGUAUUUUUUCCAAAAAUGGAAAAACUUACACUGAAUUAUGAAGAAAUGUUAGAUAUUGAGGGACUUCUACAAAAUAACUGGUUUGUACUAUUUAAAAGUGACAAGGAAAUAAAUGACAAAGAUUUAGGGAAUGUUCCAUAUUUAAGGAGACUAAGGAGGUAUGACAACUAAAUGCAACGUACGCUUCUAAACUGGAUCACAGAUCAGAAAUAAAAGUUAGUGGAACUGGUUAAAUUUCAGCAAGGUCUAACAAGUUUAUCACUGUUAAUUUCUUUUUAGUAAUUUGCUUUUGAUAAUUAUAUUAUGAUCAUGAUGGUGCUACCUGGUCAAUGAAAAACACAGAUGAACUCUUCAUACUACUUUUGCAACAUUUUUUAUAUUUAUUAAUUUUAGAGAGAGGAAGGGAGGGGGGAAAAGAGAGAAACAUCAAUUUAUUGUUUCACUUAUUUAUGCAUUCAUUAGUUGUUUCUUCUAUGUGCCCUCACAGAGAUUGAACCUGUAACUCUGGUGUAACAAGACGAUGCUCUAACCAACUGAGCCACCUAGCCAGGGCCUACUUUUGCAAUUUUUAAUAAGUCUGAAUUAAUUCAUAAUGAAAAAUUUAAAAACAAGAAAACAAAGACCCAAAUGCAUAUUAUAAUCACCAGAAUUUUUCCCUACUGGCAACCAGAAAGAAAAGUUAUAGGGGAAAAUUUUAAAGCUUUGAUUUUUCAAGCUGAUUAAAAAAAAUUUUAUUCAUUAAUGAAGAGAAGUUAUUCAGUGUUUUGAGCAAAGGGCAAGAUGAACAGUUUUGUGGGAGAGGUAACUUGGCAGGAUGGGCAAAAAGAACAUGAACAAGAGACCAAUUAGUAGACUAAUUGGUUACAGAAAUAAAGAGGUGAAAGGCUAGGGAAAGGUUGUAGGAAUGAAAAUAAAUGACUAAAUAAGAGAUACUAAGAAGGAAGACUUGAUAGGAUUUGACAUUUGAUUUGAUCAUGAGGAUUAAUAUUUGAAGCCUGAUACCAUUAGCAGAAUUGGGAAUUCUGAAACUCUGCAAUUUUGAGAAGUCAAAGUGGUAAGAUGAUGGGUAAGGAGAAAAAAAUAAAAGCCAGACAUUUUUUAAGUUG